GGCAGGAGAAUUGUACUUCUGUGAAGAUGGGAUCAGAAUUUCAACAAAGUCUCAUCUCUUUCUUUCACAGCGCUAAUGGACAGCAUCCUCCUCGGAGCGGAGCCGGGAUGGAAGGAGGCAGGGCCCCAUUCAAGUCGAGAAGUAUGACACCUGGUGCACUCUGAUCAGGGGAGGAGACGACGCACUUUGGAGACAGCCGUCUCAGGGAUUGAGUGAACCACCUCUGGAAAUUGAGGACCUUGAAAACAUCUAACGAGCCCCGGAGGCGAAGUGCGUUAAAGCGCUGAGCUGCUGAACUUGCAGACUGAAAGGUGCCAGGUUCAAAUCCUGAGAGCUGCUUGAGCGCCCGCUCUUAGCUCCAACUCCUGCCAACCUAGCAAUUCGAAAACAUGCA